GACGAACGCUGGCGGCGUGCUUAACACAUGCAAGUCGAACGGAAAGGCCCUGCUUUUGUGGGGGGCUCGAGUGGCGAACGGGUGAGUAACACGUGAGUAACCUGCCCUUGACUUUGGGAUAACUUCAGGAAACUGGGGCUAAUACCGGAUAGUAGCGCCUGCUGCAUGGUGGGGGUUGGAAAGUUUCGGCGGUUGGGGAUGGACUCGCGGCUUAUCAGCUUGUUGGUGGGGUAGUGGCUUACGAAGGCUUUGACGGGUAGCCGGCCUGAGAGGGUGACCGGCGACACUGGGACUGAGAUACGGCCCAGACUCCGACGGGAGGAAGCAGUGGGGAAUAUUGCACAAUGGGCGGAAGCCUGAUGCAGCAACGCCGCGUGCGGGAUGACGGCCUUCGGGUUGUAAACCGCUUUCGCCUGUGACGAAGCGUGAGUGACGGUAAUGGGUAAAGAAGCACCGGCUAACUACGUG
rnacentral:rRNA from 1 species